UACAUGGGGUGCAAACGUUGUCCGGAUUUAUUGGGCGUAAAGAGCGUGUAGGCGGCCAAACAGGUCCACUGUGAAAACUCGAGGCUCAACCUCGAGAGGUCGGUGGAAACCGUCUGGCUAGAGUCCGGAAGAGGAGAGUGGAAUUCCCGGUGUAGCGGUGAAAUGCGCAGAUAUCGGGAAGAACACCCGUGGCGAAGGCGGCUCUCUGGGACGGUACUGACGCUGAGACGGCGAAAGCGUGGGGAGCGAACAGG
rnacentral:rRNA from 1 species